rnacentral:lncRNA from 1 species
CACUCAUGUAUAUAUAUUUAUAUAGAGUUGAGCUAGAAUACUAUCGAUAGCAAACGGGCUCCGUUGCCGUCCAUUUGUUUUUAAUGAUAGAGCCUCAAAAUCGACGAUCGGUACCGUUGAAUAUGAUCUAUACCACUUGAAGUGUUUAGAAAUCAAAUUUCAAAUCUUUUCGACAUCAUUUGCCUAAUGAUCAAAAGAUUUCAAUUUUUGUAAUUUUAAUGGUGGAUAUGAGGCGUUUUCUCGUUUAACGGCGUAAAGAUAUCUAAAUCAAUUGAAUUUUUGUUAGAAAAUUCUUUAAACUAUUUAAAACAAGAUCAAUACUCUUGAUCUUGAUUUUAAGACUCCUAUCAUCAUUUUUUAAAGAAUAUUCAUUUUCAGUCGUUCAUUUUUGUGUCCACUCGAUGAAUAAGAGAACAAUAUCGAAAAUGUAUGAAAUUUGAUUUAUAAACACUUCAAGUGGUAUAGAUCAUAUUCAACGGCGCCGAUCGUCGAUUUGGAUGCUCGAUCAUCGAAAACAAAUGGGUGGCAACGGAGCUAGUUUGCUAUCGAUAGUAUUCUAGCUCAACUCUAUUUAUAUAUAUGUAUGUAUGUAUAUAUCAACUUUUGUUACUAGCUUGUUACUUGAUAUACAUUUUCUUUGGCUUUCUUUGGUAAGCCGACGAAGCAAAGUGACGUAAAUAAUCCGUUUUUAAAAAUUUGUGUUCAAACCGACAAAAUCGAACUGCAACCAAAUCAUUAUUUUUGGUUUCAUUUGGUUUGGUUUUUACGACUUUGGUAUAGUUUUUGGUUGUGAUAAUAUGAAAUUGAUUUAGCUCGGUUAGAUUUUAGUUUAUCUGAUAAGUCAAAUCAAAUGGAAACAUGUUCAUAACUGGACUCAUAAAAUGCGUUCGACUUUGAUUUAAUCAUGCCAAGAAUGCUUAAUGCAAUGCCAUACUUGGUUGCUCCAAAAAAAAACACAACAACAACAACGGCUACUUUUCAUAUCCGAAGCAGCUUCUUUGACGAUCUUUGAAGGAUAACAAAUGGUUGUGAACAGUCUGAGUUAAUUAUCAUAUUUUAAGUGGAUAUUCGAUUGUCUAAUUUCCUAUGGAACACCAAAUUAGCUAUUUCCAGUUGUAUACUUUUGUGCUUACUCUGUGGUUUUACAUUAAAUAAAAACGUACAAAACUUAUCUGAAUUAUGGGUCGUUUUUUAUUCGACUAUCUGAUAUAUCAAAAUUUUGAUUUUUACCAUUCAAUCUUUCAAUUUAUUUUGUUUGAGUCAACGAUAAAAUUUAGCUAGUAUAUUUUAUACAAUUCUCACAAUUAUUUAUUAAAGUAAAUAAUUAGCUUAAAUUUUAACGUCAAAGUUUUGUUGAGCAAUUCAAAUCAAACAAAUUGAAAGGGUAGGUAAUGAAAUUAAAAUUUUGAAAAGUCGGUAGUUAAUUCAAAAUGGUAUAUAGUUUAGAUAAGUUUUGUAUAUUUUUACCUUUAUAUUAUAUACUUAUGUUAACAAGAUGAGGAAUGGUUACAUUUUUGAAAUUAAUAGAAUGGUAAAAUGAGAUAGAAAUAGAAUUAUUUAGAAUGGCACCAUAAACAAUUGUUGUUUACUCUUUGGGCAUGUUUAAUUUGAACGAUUUGUAGCUUGAAAUGAGAAUCAAAAUGAUUAAUUCGGAAUGUUAGUGAUUGGUUUGAGGAAUUGACAUUCUGAUUAUCAUUUUGGGGGAAAUCAAAUCCCUCUAAACUAUUCCGACUACAUUGGUGGAAAUCAACUUCGAUUCCGCGAGGGAUAGAGAAAAAAACUAUACGCCCCACUUCUUAGAGGGUUACCCAUCAUAAGACUAUUCCAACCCUAGCAUGCUUAUCUCUUUUAAUCUUGUAGAACGGAGCGGAAGUAUUCGUUCGUACCCUUUUGCGGAAGCGAUUCGCGUUACAACUCAAUGAGUCCGGAUCGUCGAGGUUGAUUCACGUGUCCUUUGAUCGUCCUUGAUUAAAUCUUCUCACGUUCCAAACUCGCGAUGGAUCGAGCUACAAACGAGCACGAUCACAAAUCCACCGUUCAAGUCUCUCUUAGAAUAAUAGGUUGAUGGAGGAUGUGGUUUCUCUCUUUCGUUUUCUUAUUCUCUUUUCUUUUACCGUUCUUGUACCUCUUUGUUAUGUGGGAUCGUCCGCAUAUUUAUAAGAGAUUCCAAAAUCCUAAUAGCAUUAGAGAUAAGGCCAAAUCGGUUAUUAAUUGUUAUCCUAAUAUGACUAGGAUUUAUCUCUAACUAACUUUCCAAUUUGAAAGCGAGAUUAAUUCCAAUCCAAUUAGAUAACAUAACAUCCGUCGGAUCGAACCCGCUUAUGGGCGUACCCGAUUCGAUUUAACCGAAUGCCAACAUCUCCCACUCGCACAUGACGGGAUCGAUGCCAUCGUAACCACUUCCUUAACAUCACACCAUUAUUAAUUCUAUUCAUACAGGAAAAUGAAUAGUGCGACCGCCGAGUCAACCUGCAUUUUGGGAGCUCUAUACUAGAAACCGCAUCCGGCCAACAUAGAGACAUCAAUCCUCAAAAAGGAAAAAAUAUUAGACUCGUGAUGUCCUAGACCAUUGAAUUACAUCAGGUUCAGCAUCUCUAAUCCCUCAAAGAGCCAUGUUAACCGCAAUUGCGCACAUUAUGACACUAUACUCAUGAUUGUUUCGCUAUACUGAAGCAAUACAACCUGUCGACAAUGAGUCAAAGUGUCUUAAUGUAAUUCAACUAGUCUUCCUUAAGCCCUCAUGCCACUGAGUUGAGAACUGAUUGCUUUCCCGGCAAUGCCCCAUAAAGCCGCAUCACUCAUGGCCGUAGGAAACAUGCCAAAGUAGCAACAUCAAUUCUUUCGCUUAAUAACNUUAUAACUGUCAAACCGCAUAGUCAGACUGCGCAACCUUGUAGCCGAAGUUGCACCAAAUUUUGCUUUGAGAGCCUACCACAUGUCAUACGCAGUCGGAUACUGCUCACACUCGCACAAGAGAUCAUUCUGCAUACUGCUCAGCAACGUGAUGCGAGCAAUGCGAUCCUUUUUGAGCCAAUUAUUAUAGGCUUCCAUAUCUCGGCGAGCCUAGGCACUGGUGCCCUCUGUGGGUAGGUCCAUUUUAUUACUCAUGUUUUCCAGAACCUCUUGCUCAGCGAGAACAUAUUGAAUUUUACGGUGCCAAAUAUCAUAAUUGUCACCAUCCAAUUUCUCGCCCUUGUUUAAAUCCGCAAUAAUUUGUUUGGAAGUCAUUAAAUCUCACUUUGUUCAUACAAUGCGCAGAAAAAAAGAUAUUUUAAAAUUAGUACACGAAACGUGUAUUCAAUUUUGCCGCAUCUCUAAUUAAAUAAAUUAAAAAUUAGAUCAUACAUGCGUAAAGAAAAAUUUCGCUAUGCUCAUAAUCACAUCACACACCAUAUGUCAAAAUAUUUUUAAUUAUUUAAUUAAGAUGCACAAAAUAUUUGAGAGUAACAGCAUAUAAAUUUACUCUACCAAAAUUAAAAAAUCCCACUCGAUAAGGCAUGCAUAAAUAUAUAUAUUACGCCAAAAGUUACAUCUUUUCAUCAUAAAAAGGUAAAAAUAAAAAAUAUGCGUUUUCUACAUCACAAAAGAAUAUUGGAUCAUUGAUGAUAUAUCACAAAAGCACAUUAAUCAUCAAAUAUAUAUAUAAUUUUAUUAAAAAAAAAUUGGUGGAGAAAAAAGAAGAAAAGAAAAGAAAAUCUGCUGGCCCCUUGCGGGCUGCGGCCUGCAUGGGCUCCAAGCGCGUGGUCGUCGUGGUCAUCCGAAAAAAUUUCAGAAAAAAAAAACACAACUCAUGAUAUAGAACACCAAAACUUGCAAGAAAAAUAUCAAUGGAAACCUUGUGACGAGCUCUUCCAAAUCAUGCAAGUUUCACAAUGAGAUAUUCAUUUUCGAAAAAACCGCCAAAAACGCUCACAUACAUGCAAGAAAAAAUCUAAAACAUGAUAGAUUUAAUAUAUCGCAUGUAAUCUCGUUAAAAGAUGUAUCAAGACCACGAAAUCAACCAAAAAAGACUCUGAUACCAAUUGUCGGAUCGUUGGCGCUAACCAUUAAUCCCAAAAGCUCGAGCUGUUAGAAAUACGCAACCAAUUCACUUAAAGCGUAUAGAAACAGCGCCCACAGGUCUCGAUUGUGACUCGGCCCACCUGGCCUCACGCCACUUCGAACAUGACUCGGCCCAACCUAGCCUCACGCCAUUUCGAACAUGACUCGGCCCACAUGGCCUCCCGCCAUAGGGCAGGAUGCUGGCCCAUUUAAGCCAACAAAUCUCUUGGGCCUAGCCACUAUCGAAAAUAUUAUAGUAAGAUUAAGAAGUUUAGUUAUAUUAUCUUAUAUAUAAAAUUAUUCCAAAUCCUAGGAUCUCACAUUUUUUCUCCUUUUAAGUCCUGAUGUCUUCAUCAGGCUCAAAUAUUCACAAGUACCAAGAGAUAUAAGAUUCAUCUCUCUAACCUUAGCCGACCUUGUGAAAAACCGCACUCUACCCACAAUAGUUAUUAGUUAGACAGUUUCACUCUGUCUGCUGAAUAACUCUGGCUCUACCGAGACUCAUCUUAUACUUUAGCCGGCAAUUGGCUCUAAUACUAACUUAAUUGAAUUGGUUGGUUGCGGUGGUAUUGUAGCAGGUGGUAUGCUGCGCGAAUAUAGGGGUGACUUUGUUCGUGUGGACAGAGGAAUUCCUAUAUUUGUGGCGAAUUUGCUCGUCUUCUGGACAAAGUUAUUUUUUUAAAAAAAGUUAGGCAUUUUCUACUAGCUUAACUUAUCAAAAUCAGGCCUUUUUCUAAAAUGGCUUUACAAAAACUCUUAUUUAAAUUUAAAUAUUAAUUGACAGCCCUUUUUGCAUAAAGAAUUCACCUUUUUUUUUUUGCAAAAUUGGUUCAUAUAUUUUUUAUUUUGCAUAUUCGGAUCGAAUUUUUAGAAAUCUAACCAAAAUGCCUCUCUCUUCUCUUUCUUUACUCUCUCUCAUCUCCUUCGUUGUGACGCCAAUGUUGCCAACAUUGUCAUAGUUCCUUUCCUCUCCUUUCUCAUUCUCCACAACCUUCUACCUCUUUCUAUCUGACCUCCUCCUUCUUAUCCUCCGUUGCUAUCGUCGCGGACCACCAGCCGCCUGUAGCAAGCAACGCCUCGAGCAGGCUAGGGACGAUAACUAUAGAAAGUCGACUCUUUUCUCCGGACGUUGCAAUCCUAUUCCCGCCAUCGAGGAGGCCACCGUCGACGAACCUCCGUCGAGACAUGCAGCUUCUAUAUUUAUUCGAAUACACAGAUUUAUCAGACAUGUUCACAUGAAAACCAUUUGAUACAACCAAAGAGUCAAAUUUCAAAAACCAUUGCUUAGGAGCUUGCUUAAGUCCAUAUAAAAAUCUAUUCAAUUUGCACAUUUUGUUCUCAUGCCCAAAAACUACAAAGUUUUCAAAUUGCUUUAUAUAAAUAUCUUCAUAAAAAUCACCAUUCAGAAAGACUGUCUUAACAUCCAUUUGAUGAACAAUCAAAUUAUGAAUAGAGGCUUCCUACUUUCACUGGGCGUGACACCCACACUUUAAAAUAAUUCAGAUUAGGCUUCCUACUUUCCAAAGCUCAUAGGGAGACACAAUAGAAUUCUUGUGGGGAAUUUUAUUUAAGGGGCAAUUGCCUAUAUACCCCUGAAAAGUUUCUGGUUUUCUUAUUUACCCUUCUUAGAAGGCUAAUAUUGAAAAUACCCUUCUUAUGUUCCAAGUUUUUCUAAAAUACCCCUGGAGUUAAGUUCCGUUAGUGAGUUGCCGUUAUCUCUGAAAAAUGACCAUUUUGCCCAUUCCAAUAUACCCUUGUACCGUAACAAACUUUUCUUAUACACCCUUCAUAUAGCAAAUACUUUUCUUAUUUGCCCUUCAGCCGGAUCCGGAGCAGAGGGCUUGCAGGGGUCCGAUGGCGUUGCGGCCCUCUUGCUCCCGACGCCGGCCAAGGCAGCGGAGGAGGAGAAGGACGACGAGAGCGGCGAGAGAUGGGAUCGUCACUGCGGCCCUCUUGCUCCCGGCGCCGGCUAAGGCGGCGGAGAAGGUAGACGACGGCGACGACGAGAGCAGCGGUGGAAGAGGACGACGAGAGCGACGAGAGGGGUGGUGUUGGAGGUGGAGGUGUAGGAGGAGAUGAGGCGAGGUGGAGGCGGAGGAGCCGGCCGGUGGUGGCGACCAAGUUGGGGAAGAAAGAGAGGAUAAUUUUAGGGAUUAGUAUAAUAAGGUAGGGGCAAAAUAGGUAUUUUGUUCAGAUUUUAACUCUAGUAUAGAUUUAACCCAUGUUUAACCCGAGUUAAGCUAACAGGGGAUAACUGCGGGGGUAUUUUGGAAUAACGGUGAAACAUAUGAGGGGCAUUUUAGAAAGAAAAAAAAAAAGUAGGGGUAGAUCGGAUAUUUUCGAAUACAUGAAGGGUAUAUAGGCAAUUAUCCCUUUAUUUAAAAUCAUACAUACAAAAUCAAAGCUUCCCUCCAUAAGUUAUCGGGUGCACCAAAUAUAAUAAUCAUCGAGUUCACCAUAUCCAUCAAAGUCCUAUUCUUGCGUUCAACAACUCCAUUAGAUUGAGGUGUAUAAGGAGCAGUCACUUGAUGCACAACUCCAAACUCUUAACAGAAAGCAGUCAUCUCAUUUGAAGUAUAUUCAUCAUCUCGAUCAGACCUCAAAAUCUUAAUUUUCUUAACUAAUUGAUUUUCAACCUCAGCCUUAUAAAUCUUGAAUCUGUUUGAAUCUCAUCUUUUGAUUUGAUCAAGUAAACAUAACAAUAUUUUGAUUGAUCAUCUAUAAAAGUCACAAAAUGCUUAUUUUCACCUCUACUAGAUCUACUUCCAUCACAAACAUCACUUUGCACCAAUUCUAAAAUAUCACAAUCUCUAUCCAUAGAUUUAAAUAUUUUCCUAGGCUUAAAUAGCUUGCACAUAUAUUUCACAUAUAUGAUCAUGUAAAUCAGAUUUAGGAAUCAAAUAAAGAUGCAUCAAUCUUUUGAUUGUAUUAAAAAUUUACAUGUCCCAAUCUUCUAUGACAAAUAUUAGGAGAAAUAACAUUCAAAACAAAAGCACUUACAUUAACGGAAGGAGAGAUACAGAUAAUUUAAAUAAACCGCCACUCAAAAAUCCCUUCCGUACAAAGUUUACACCUUUUGUUAUAACUAUCUUAUUACAUUCAAAUACUAACUUAAAAUCCUACUGAACUAAAAGAGAAGCACUAAU